rnacentral:rRNA from 1 species
AGUCGAGCGGCAGCAUGACUGUAGCAAUACAGUUGAUGGCAAGCGGCGGACGGGUGAGUAAUAUAUAGGAAUCUACCUUCUGGAGGGGGAUAGCUCAGGGAAACUUGAGGUAAUACCGCGUAAGUCCGAAAGGAGAAAGGGGGCGCAAGCUCUCGCCGGAAGAUGAGCCUAUAUUGGAUCAGCUAGUAGGUGAGGUAAAAGCUCUACCUAGGCAACGAUCCAUAGCUGUUCUGAGAGGAAGAUCAGCCACACUGGAACUGAGACACGGUCCAGACUCCUACGGGAGGCAGCAGUGGGGAAUAUUGGACAAUGGGGGCAACCCUGAUCCAGCAAUGCCACGUGUGCGAAGAAGGCCUUCGGGUUGUAAAGCACUUUAGUAGGGGAGCAAGGUUACGGCGCUAAUAUCGCCGUGAUUUGAGAGUACCCUAAGAAUAAGCACCGGCAAACUCUGUGCCAGCAGCCGCGGUAAUACAGAGGGUGCAAGCGUUAAUCGGAAUUACUGGGCGUAAAGGGCUUGUAGGCGGUCAUAUAAGUUAGAUGUGAAAACCCCGGGCUUAACCUGGGACGUGCAUUUAAUACUGUAUGGCUAGAGUAUGGUAGAGGAAAGGGGAAUUUCCGGUGUAGCAGUGAAAUGCGUAGAUAUCGGAAGGAACAUCAGUGGCGAAGGCGCCUUUCUGGACUAAUGCUGACGCUGAGGAGCGAAGGCGUGGGGAGCAAACAGGAUUAGAUACCC